GGCCCCGUCGCCGCAGUAGUUGAGUGGCCGAUCGAACUCCUAAAGCGGGUGUCGCAGGUUCGAAUCCUGCCGGGGGCACCA
rnacentral:tRNA from 1 species